CCAUAGCAUUAUGGACCCACCUGAUCCCAUGCCGAACUCAGCAGUGAAACGUAAUAGCGCCGAUGGUAGUGUGGGGUCUCCCCAUGUGAGAGUAGGACAUCGCCAGGC
rnacentral:rRNA from 1 species